UCUUGACAAUAUUUAGUAGCGAGUCAGUCGCACUGUUUUCAUUGUUGUCGCUUCUUGUUCACGUCUCAAGUGCUUUUACAGUUAUAAAUCAGAGUAUUAUAAAUAUAUUUGCAUAUAUAAAUAUAUAUGUAUAUGUACAUAAGAAAUAACGGAUCUUUGCGUGUUCGCCUGUAAGCGCAGCAGCUGGCGUUGUGGAAAGGGGAACGUGGAUUGUGGGCUGUGGGUUGUGGAACGUGAAACGGGUCGCAUCCGUGUGUCUCUCUGCAGGCGAUUAUUUAAUUUACCUACGUAUAAUAUUAGUACAACACAAAAGAACGAAAGUGCGAGGAAGAGAGAGAGGGAGAGAAGUGCGUGUCGUAAUUGCCUGCUUUACUUCACGUGUGACUAUAAGUUUAACACACAGCUGUUAUCACUACAACAAUAACAACGACAACAAAUAUACCAAUAAUUACCGUUAGAACAACAAGAACAACUACAAAAUGUGUAAAAUGCGCUAUUUAACGGAGACUCAUUUGAAGGGCUUCGAGCGUUACAAGUACAACAGCGUCGACACGAGUUUUCUUAGUGUCUAUGUAAUGCAUCCCUUUUGGAAUUUCCUUGUAAAGUAUAUACCCAUGUGGAUGGCGCCCAAUAUUCUCACAUUUGUGGGAUUCCUGAUGACCGUGGUAAACUUCAUAUUGAUAGCGUAUUAUGAUUGGAAUUUUGAUGCGGCCAACGAUAAGGAGGUGGGCAAUACAGUACCCAGUUGGGUCUGGACUGUUGCAGCCAUAAACAUACUUAUCUACUAUAAUUUGGAUGGCAUGGAUGGAAAGCAGGCUCGUCGUACAGGGACCAGCGGCCCGUUGGGUGAACUGUUUGAUCAUGGAUUAGACUCCUAUUCUGCAGCACUUAUUCCAAUUUAUAUAUUCUCAUUAUUUGGCACGGCUGAUCUCCCACCGAUACGCAUGUUUUUCGUCAUUUGGAACGUAUUUCUUAACUUUUACUUUACUCAUGUUGAAAAGUACAAUACCGGCGUCAUGUUUUUGCCCUGGGGAUAUGACUUUACCAUGUGGGGUGUCAGCAUUAUGAUGUUUGUGGCAACUUUGGUGGGUCCAGGAAUUUACCGCACCAGCUUUUAUGGAAUUACUAUAGCAAAUGUGUUUGAGGUUGGCCUGAUCGGCUCUGGCAUUCUCUCCAGUCAUCCGUUUAUCAUCAGGAACAUUUACCUAUCUUACAAGAACAAGACGGGAAAGAUGCGUCCUAUGAUGGAGAUGCUACGUCCAUUUUUUGCAUUCCUUUGGCUUUUUGUGAUUACGACGAUAUGGUCGUACUGCUCUAGAACACGAUUGAUUGAAAACGAGCCGCGUUUGCUAUGGAUUCUUUAUGGCACAAUCUUUUCAAAUAUUGCUUGUCGUCUGAUAGUUGCCCAAAUGUCGGAUACUCGUUGCGAUGGCUUUAACAUUCUUAUGUGGCCAUUGGCUGCCACAGUAGGCGUCUGUUGUUUUCCCUGGUAUGAGAAGGCUUUCGGCAGGGAUUUGUUGCCGCAGGAAGAACGUUGGAUCCUCCAAGGAUUAACCAUCUUCGUCACUUUGGCGCAUUGGCAUUACGGCUAUGGAGUGGUCACGGAAAUGUGUAAUCAUUUCAAUAUCAAUUGCUUCAAAGUAAGAAAAUCGCGCAGAGAUUCCGUUGGGAUAUUACUACAUCCAUCACAGAACAAUAACAAAAUAUUGAAAAGCCAUUGAAACUAAUUACAUACUAACUAAAAAAAAAAUCGAAAGCAAAAAAAUCGAGAUCAACGACAAAAAGGGGUGAACAAUUUGUAUGUGAUAUAAUAAUAAUAUGUGGACAUUAUAAAAUUUAAACUCGCCUCGCUCUGGUCUAUAUUUAAGUGAUCCAUAUACAAUUCAAUAAGCUCCCAUGCGCCGCAUAACGUUAUGAUACAACCUAUUGGAAUGUACAUACUGAAUGCAUCUAAAAUGCAUGAAUUUGGUCCCUAACUGCAUGUUCCGUUAAGUAUUAUAUGCUUUGAUCUGAAGUUUACAUAAUUGUUAAGAGAUAUUCUGAACUAAAAAUUGCAUUAUAAUUUUCCUAGAUUAAAAAACAGCCUCCCAAUGCAGUGCAGGAACUUGUUGAGACCAAUCCGACGCAAACAACUGAACCACCCGUAGAGGAAGUGUAAACCAAAUACCGUUACCAUCACCGUUUGGUUCUAUUCUUCUUUAAGCGUAAAUGUUAAGUAAAGUUGUGUGUGAACAUGUUAAAUUGUUUUAGGUUAAGUCGAACUUGAACCAAAUAUGUAACUGUUAAGUACAAAAGGAAAAGCUUUCAAGUGCCUUAUUCCAGACUCAUGUAUGUAGGCAGCAAAAGCUUUUGCACGAAAGUUCUGUUAAGUUGCGCAACUUACCCGAUAGAGGGCUUCUGUUGAACUGUUAGUGCUAAAUAAAUUUCUUGAAUAUUUGACUAAAAAACAA